ACUAACUGCUGUCAUCUCCCAGAGUGAAGAAUCCAUCAGAUGCCCGUGGACUUAGGACCACUGCAGUCAGUAAUGGGACCUUAUGGCAGAGACAGCUGGAAGAGCAAAGCCACGCACCUGGAGGCAAAAUGA
rnacentral:lncRNA from 1 species